UGACGAUGACGCAAUCGAAGGAAACUACAGUGUUUCAAGCUUCCAAAGUUUAGUGGAGGAUAAGUCCACUCAUGCCCACACUUUGAAAUUGAGAGAUUAGGAUCGUGAAAACACGAGGAACAUGAAGGUCUUGAUGGGUGAUGGCCAUUUGACUCAAACAAAAGGGCUAUGUCAUGGCUUGGAGGUGGAGCUCGAGGGAGGUAAUUUCAAAUUGGAUGCCCACUUAUUUGAGUUGCAAGACAUCAAAAUGAUACCUGGAAUAUCGUGGCUAGCAUCAUUGGGGGAGAUAUUGGUCGAUUGGGGAGAUCAAGUCAUGAAGAUCAAGAUUCUAGAGGGCAUUCACAUUCUGAAAGGAAUGAUGCAUUCUAAAAAUGUCCCCACAACAUUAAAGGCGAUGAUUGAGGACAAAUCUGAGAUGCAAGGGAAGGACAUGUAUGAACUCUCUCCGAAGCAAAAUGAAUUGAUGCAAAAGUUGUUGGGCCAAUUUGACGCUGUCUUUUAGGACCCCAAGGGACUACCUCUAGUGCGAUCGAAGGAACAUGCAAUCACGUUGCUGCCAGGGGUAGGGCCUGCCAAUGUACGCCCUCGUCAUUAUCCUUAUCACCAAAAAAGUGAGAUAGAAAGACAAGUUUGAGUGUUGUUGGAGGAUGGCCAUAUUAGGCCUAGUCAGAGUGCCUACUCUAGUCCAAUAUUGUUGGUAAAGAAGAAAGAUGCUUCUUGCCAUAUGUGUGUUGAUUUCAAAGCAUUGUACCAGAUAAGUUCCCGAUUCUGAUGACUGAAGAACGGUUGGACAAGCUACGUGGGUUUCAUUUUUUUUAAAGAUUCGACCUAAAAUUUGGAUACUAUCAAGUGAGGUUGAAGGAGAAGGACAUCCCCAAAAUAGCUUUCAAAACCCAUGAGGGCAAUUACGAGUACUUGGUAAUGCCUUUCAAGUUGAUAAUGCACCUUCAACCUUUCAUGCCCUCAUGAAUGAAGUUUUCAGGUAGCAGAUGCAGAAGUAUGUUCUAGUCUUCUUCAAUGACACUUUGAUAUACAGUGUAGAUUGGAAGACUCAUUUGAGUCACUUGGAGGAAAUUUUGGGUAUCCUAAGAUCCCACCAACUCUUCAUUAAUAAAAAGAAAUGCUUAUUUGGACAAAAAAGUGUGGAAGACUUAGGCCAUAUUAUUUUCCAAGAAGGCAUAAGAGUGGACCUAGCAAAGGUUCGGAGUACACAGGAGUGGCCAAUUCCAAAAUAGUAUAAAAGGUGUAUGUGGCUUCUUAGGGUUAUCAAAUUAUUACCGAAAGUUCAUUAAGGAAUAUGGGAGAGUGGCAAGCCCCUCAUGGAUUUGGCGAAGAAAGAUGCAUUUUGUUGGAAUGCAAGUGCUCAACAAGCCUUUGAGGAACUCAAAAGAAGGAUAUUAGCUACUCGUACCAUUUGGAAAGUUGGAGAUGAGGCCACUUGGGAAGAUGAGAUUGUGUUGAGGAGCCAAUUUCCCACUUAAUCUUGAGGACAAAACUGUUGUUGCAGGUGGGGCAGUGAUGAGACUUGUAUAGAGAUGAAGCCCAAAGAACCAUUGGUCCAUUCUUAUUGGGGAAUACGGACCCCACCAAGUGGAAAGUAUACAUGAGAAGAAGGAAGAAAGGCAUAAUUCAAGGAUGCUGAGCUGACAGGAGAAGUAGGGUCAAUCCCUUAAGGCUGUUAGGGGUUGUUAUGGUGAGAGAAAGAGGAAUUCUGUCAUAGGGGGAUGUUGUGAGAGAGAGAGAGAAGAGGGAGAGAAGGUUAUGGGUAUGGAGAAUCAUCUUGAUUUCUUUGUAUAGAAAGCUCUGCUCUAGGAAUUGGAGUCUCACUCCUUUUGUUUCUCCUAUCUUUUCAAUAAUAUCAUAUACCUUUCCAUCA